AGUCUCCCUUUCUAUAGUGCAAGCUCGACUAGACAGUUUUGACAAUAGUGAUAUUAAGGCUCUGCUUGGUGCCAUGCAAUCUGCAUUUGGGGUGCCAGCUAGCCACAGGACUCAUCUGGAAAAAAAACAACCGCCCAACCCUGAGAACUUUGGGAUUCAUGGGAAAUUACAGUUCCCCUGAUGAUGCAGGACCGGACCAGGAUUUCACUCAUCAACUGGCCUAGAUUAAGGAGAAAGAAAUCUACAUUUCUGAACCUGGUAAUGUCUGAGCAUAGUCAUGGAAGAAAGAGCUGGCCUAUAAGUGUGAGUCAUUCAACAAAUAUUUCUGAGUUUUUACAAUGUGCUAGAUACUCUUUACAUGCUGAAUGAGAUAGUAAAACUAAGUCUGCUCGGGAUAAUUGAGAAAUUAUCGCUUUCUUCCUGUAGGCACCCCCUGCUUUUCACUAACACUUUUUUCUUCUUGUUGGAAGGGUGGAUAUUAUGGCUGGAGCUGCAGCAGCCAUCAUGCCAACAUGAGGGAAAAGCUAAUGGAAUUGCGGAGACUUUGGCCUUGUGAUUCAGCCCUGGAUGAGUUGUCUCCACAUUGCUUAUCAUAUAAGAGAAAAACCAA
rnacentral:sRNA from 1 species